rnacentral:rRNA from 1 species
AUACGUAGGUGGCAAGCGUUGUCCGGAAUUAUUGGGCGUAAAGCGCGCGCAGGUGGUUCCUUAAGUCUGAUGUGAAAGCCCACGGCUCAACCGUGGAGGGUCAUUGGAAACUGGGGAACUUGAGUGCAGAAGAGGAAAGUGGAAUUCCAAGUGUAGCGGUGAAAUGCGUAGAGAUUUGGAGGAACACCAGUGGCGAAGGCGACUUUCUGGUCUGUAACUGACACUGAGGCGACGAAAGCGGUGGGGAGAC